rnacentral:misc_RNA from 1 species
GGUAUGUUUUGCCUUUGCUUUUCCUUCUCAUUUUUCAACAUGGAUUUAUGCCUUUAAGGUGUUUGUUGUUUUUGUUGUUUCAUUAUGUUCUUGAUUUCUUGUUUAAUUGAAUCUUGAAUUGUAACUUGAUAUAGGGUGGGAUCAUUUUAGGAGCCUCUGUUCUGGGUAAGAACAAGAAAUACAUGGAAAACAUUUUUCCUGACAAAGAGAUGUUG